rnacentral:rRNA from 1 species
CAUGUGUAGCGGUGAAAUGCGUAGAUAUAUGGAGGAACACGGGUGGCGAAAGCGGCUCUCUGGCUUGUAACUGACGCUGAGGCUCGAAAGCGUGGGNAGCAAACAGGAUUAGAUACCCUGGUAGUNCACGCCGUAAACGAUGAGUGCUAGGUGUUAGACCCUUUCCGGGGUUUAGUGCCGCAGCUAACGCAUUAAGCACUCCGCCUGGGGAGUACGACCGCAAGGUUGAAACUCAAAGGAAUUGACGGGGGCCCGCACAAGCGGUGGAGCAUGUGGUCUAAUUCGAAGCAACGCGAAGAACCUUACCAGGUCUUGACAUCCCUCUGACCGCUCUAGAGAUAGAGUUUUCCUUCGGGACAGAGGUGACAGGUGGUGCAUGGUUGUCGUCAGCUCGUGUCGUGAGAUGUUGGGUUAAGUCCCGCAACGAGCGCAACCCCUAUUGUUAGUUGCCAUCAUUCAGUUGGGCACUCUAGCGAGACUGCCGGUAAUAAACCGGAGGAAGGUGGGGAUGACGUCAAAUCAUCAUGCCCCUUAUGACCUGGGCUACACACGUGCUACAAUGGCUGGUACAACGAGUCGCAAGCCGGUGACGGCAAGCUAAUCUCUUAAAGCCAGUCUCAGUUCGGAUUGUAGGCUGCA